GUAGACCAAACCCAGUACCGUUACGAUUUCAAUCGUACGGGAAAUCCACUCACGAAGCUAAGUGGGGUAGGCCUAGCUAGGCCGGGGCCUGCACAGUCAGCACCAUUUUUUUAAGGAAUAGUUUUAAUACAUUGUACAAUGUGUCUGGGUAAGGUACUGACGGGACUACACUACACUUGGUAAUGAUAACUUAUCAUUGCUUUCGACUUCGUGUCGAUGUAACGACGAUAGCAAACAUCCUCGUAAUCGUAUGCCUUUCCCUCAUCCAUUCCAAGAGGCACAUCCAUUCCUAGCCUAGUUAAGACACAAGUUUGUCAGCUAUAGUUCGGUUAAGACUGUCUAAAACUAUCCAUAAUUUGUUACAAGUAACAAUCUUCAAGAAUCUGGUUGCUGUAACUAGAAUUGGAGUUUCAUUAGCAAUUUCUUCGCGGUGAAAACAACACUUUGUAUUACAACACCGGCACACUGUCCGUCGCUAGUCGCCAUGUUGCUGUUUACUCUUGUUGUUUACUGUUGUUGGCUGUACCACAACACGUGAAGUUAUUGUAACAAAAUCAAUUUAAUAGUAGUCUAAAAAAUAUUAUUCUGUAAUUAAAAUACACAUUAUAUCUAAUUAUAAUUUUAAAAUUUGUUUUUAAAGCAGUAAUACGAAGUUCGCAAAUAAUAAACUACGUAUCAAAAAUACAAUAUUCGAACGAGUACAAUGACGUUUACAAAAUGUCGUGUGCUAAUCUAGCGCAAAGAACUUUCAAUUUCGUGUAAAGGUGGCAUCCUCCAUCGCAUUUGAAAUACUUGCAUUCUGGCGCCCUCAUACACUUCACAGCACAUCGAAUGCAGCUUCCUGUCGAGUUUUGAGUCGUUAUUGAACGAUGAAAGUUUAAAGACUUGUAAUAAGUUGAGUGUUCAGCCAUUUUGUCUGCACAAAAAUAUACAGAGUUCUGACCAAGAAACCCAGACUCAAAACUACCGGGCCUGUGUCCAGCAGAGGGUAGUCCUUACCUCUAAAUAAUUUGAUACCCGACUAACUGACUAGCAAAGCGUUCGAUAAAGUCAACCACUGGACGUUGUUUAAGACGCUGGUUGAACGAGGUACCCCCAACCCUGUUAUUCAAGUCCUUCGAUCAUGGUGUCGGUCGCAGGAGUUUGUUGUCAGGUAUGGUAGCUUCAUAUCUGAUCCUUUCUCCGUUAGGAACGGAGUGCGUCAAGGGGGAGUCAUGUCUCCAUUACUGUAUAAUGUAGUCACUGAUCCGCUUUAUGUACUUUUAGAUAAUCCUAAUGUCGGAUGUGAAUUAAACGGUACUAAAAUCAAUUGUUUAAGCCAUGCUGAUGAUCUGGUAUUUAUGGAUCCAUCAGCAGCAGGACUACAAAGUCUUAUUUAUUUUUGUAAUAUAGUUGCUAGUGAUUAUAAUAUCACGUUUCAUGAGUCUAAAUCAAAAUGUAUGGUAAUCUGUCCUAAGGUGCGUAACCUGCAAGGCGAGCCUCGUAUUACACUUAAAUCAUCCCCUUUGUUAUUUGUUAACCCUAUUUGUAACGGCAACCGCGUUACCUUAAGGUUGGGAUACAUUUCGACAUUUCCUGGCAAUGUCACGAACGCAGAAAUUGCUGUGGAGCAUGGAUGUUUUGUCAGUUUUUCUCCUCUUUAAUCUCCGACUCCAAGAUAAUUCGAUAAGUUAAUGUUUCAAAUUGUAAGUAAGUUUAACUAGUAUAAUCAAUAUAAUUCACAGUUAAUGUUAUCUUCUCAGUUUUCGUGAAUACACUACUAGUUUUAGUUGAGAUACGAGAUAUGCACGUGUAAAACCGUGUGUGUGUGUGCAGCCAUUGCUGUACAACUCAAUGUAGGCCUAUCAGUAAUUAACGAGUUUAGAUUUAAUAUUAUGAUGUUGGUAUUCUUUUGUGAGAAUAAUCACUAGCAUUAGUGUUAAUUGGAGAACUGAAUAACGUGUUAAAUUAUCGUGUACGCUUUUAAGAAGUUAUGUAUAUCAUGAUCAAAGCCUUUUGCCACUACAGGAAAUCUUGAAUAUCGUAUCGCUAGCAACGAACUUGUCACGAAGUUUCGUUCCGCUUGAGUGGGCUCGAGCGUGUUAUGAAUACAUUUUAUAUUACGCCCUCUAUUGUUUAUAUUCUGGUUCCCGUAUUAAAUUCAUAGAUUAUUGAUACUUAACAGAAGUUAACUAUGUUAUAAUACUAUGAAAAUUGUGAUUAUUGAUUGAUAUUAUGUUUAAUGAUUAACUUUAUUUUGAGAAUACGAUUAUAACUUCUUGUUCAUAGGAUGGAUAAAAUUUAGCUUCGCGUUGAACCUUGGAGAUGCAAAUACGUUUUCACCUUUCUUCAUCUAUCAAGUAUUGUUGAAUAAACACUUCAGAACAUA